rnacentral:tRNA from 1 species
GCCGGGAUGGCGGAAUUGGCAGACGCGCUAGGUUGAGGGCCUAGUGACCCUAACACGGUCUUCCGGGUUCAAGUCCCGGUCCCGGCACCA